rnacentral:rRNA from 1 species
GACAGAGGGUGCAAACGUUGCUCGGAAUUACUGGGCGUAAAGCGCACGUAGGCGGCUUUGUAAGUUAGAGGUGAAAGCCCGGGGCUCAACUCCGGAACUGCCUUUGAGACUGCAUCGCUUGAAUCCAGGAGAGGUGAGUGGAAUUCCGAGUGUAGAGGUGAAAUUCGUAGAUAUUCGGAAGAACACCAGUGGCGAAGGCGGCUCACUGGACUGGUAUUGACGCUGAGGUGCGAAAGCGUGGGGAGCAAACAGG